rnacentral:rRNA from 1 species
GUGCCAAGCAGCCGGCGGUAAUUCCAGCUCCAAUAGCGUAUAUUAAAGUUGUUGCAGUUAAAAAGCUCGUAGUUGAACCUUGGGUCUGGCUGGCCGGUCCGCCUCACCGCGUGUACUGGUCCGGCCGGACCUUUCCUUCUGGGGAGCCGCAUGCCCUUCACUGGGCGUGUCGGGGAACCAGGACUUUUACUUUGAAAAAAUUAGAGUGUUCAAAGCAGGCCUUUGCUCGAAUACAUUAGCAUGGAAUAAUAGAAUAGGACGUGCGGUUCUAUUUUGUUGGUUUCUAGGACCGCCGUAAUGAUUAAUAGGGAUAGUCGGGGGCAUCCGUAUUCAAUUGUCAGAGGUGAAAUUCUUGGAUUUAUUGAAGACGAACUACUGCGAAAGCAUUUGCCAAGGAUGUUUUCAUUAAUCAGUGAACGAAAGUUAGGGGAUCGAAGACGAUCAGAUACCGUCGUAGUCUUAACCAUAAACUAUGCCGACUCGGGAUCGGUGGGCGUUACUAUUUUGACUCCAUCGGCACCGUACGAGAAAUCAAAGUUUUUGGGUUCUGGGGGGAGUAUGGUCGCAAGGCUGAAACUUAAAGAAAUUGACGGAAGGGCACCACCAGGCGUGGAGCCUGCGGCUUAAUUUGACUCAACACGGGGAAACUCACCAGGUCCAGACACAAUAAGGAUUGACAGAUUGAGAGCUCUUUCUUGAUUUUGUGGGUGGUGGUGCAUGGCCGUUCUUAGUUGGUGGAGUGAUUUGUCUGCUUAAUUGCGAUAACGAACGAGACCUUAACCUGCUAAAUAGCCCGGCCCGCUUUGGCGGGUCGCCGGCUUCUUAGAGGGACUAUCGGCUCAAGCCGAUGGAAGUUUGAGGCAAUAACAGGUCUGUGAUGCCC